CUCUGUACAACGAUGUAACUCUCCCAUCAGAAGUACAGCAAUUACCAUCUGCUGUUGAAGGUCCAUUAUCCUGUAACAUCCUUUAUGAUGUUUUAUUAUGUAUCCGUAACAGAAUAAACCUGAAGAAACCGUAAGUCAGAUUGCGUAUUAGUACUUUUCAAUAAUAUAGACAUGUAUUAUUGUGGCGAGCAUUUGGCCCAAGAUUAUAUAUACAAGAGACAUUGAUAUAUAUAUAUCAAUCAACUGAAGACAAGAAGAAAUUAAGAGGAUUCUACAUUAGAUUUUACAUCUGUAGACAAAAUGUCCUGGCAAUACUGACUUGUUUAACUAAAAUCCCCCGGGUCCUACACAAUGCUCUUGUGGCUGGUAAGGAUGAACAUAAAAUGAACCUACUCCCUAGAGCUCUGUAUUUGUUUCCGACAAUCCUGAUCCAACUCCCUAGAUAUUUCUUCUAGGCACUACAGAUUGCCAUUAAAUUUGUAUUGGAGAGGUUUCCCAAGACUCAAAAUGACCCAACUACAAAUCCAAAUAAACUUAGUGCAGAGAACAGUGUAUAUUGCAGAUUACAAAAAUUAAGAAAUAUCUAAUGUAGAUAUUGGGAUACUGAUGCCCACCAGAACCCCCCAUGUUUAAUUAUUGAGAAUAGCACUGUAAAGCUUACCAUUGCCAGUUAAACAGAACUAUCACUGCAAACCCUCCAUCACCAUUUCAUUUGUUACUGGCAGGGGCGUACCUAGGACAUUUGGCCCCUGCGGCACACCCUGUGUAUGAGUAAACAUCUAACCUUUUGGCUUGCACCACCGAUCCCAGUCCAAUUACAAUAAAGUGGUUCACUUUAGAGAACAGAGGUAAGGAACCUUUAGCACUUCCAGUGUUGUGGACUACAUCCCCCCCUGUGUGUUUGCCAGCAUUAUGAGAGAUGUCUUCCACAAUAUCUGAAAUUUGAAGUAUCUAACCCUGGUAUAGAUAAUACUGGAAGAUUU